rnacentral:tRNA from 1 species
GGGGCAUUAGCUCAGCUGGGAGAGCGCCGCAAUGGCAUUGCGGAGGUCG